rnacentral:tRNA from 1 species
GGUCUCGUAGUUCAGUUGGUUAGAGCGUUGGUCUUAUAAGCCGAAGGUCGCGGGUUCAAGCCCUGCUGGGACCA